UGAACUGUGGUUAAGGAACUCGGCAAAUUGCCCCCGUAACUUCGGGAGAAGGGGGGCCUCCGCUGGUGAUCAGACUUGCUUUGUGAGCUGGUGGGGGUCGCAGAGGCCAGGGGGAAGCGACUGUUUACUAAAAACACAGGUCCGUGCGAAGUCGUAAGACGAUGUAUACGGACUGACGCCUGCCCGGUGCUGGAACGUUAAGGGGACCGGUUAGCGGGACGUAAGUCCUGCGAGGCUGAGAACUUAAGCGCCAGUAAACGGCGGUGGUAACUAUAACCAUCCUAAGGUAGCGAAAUUCCUUGUCGGGUAAGUUCCGACCUGCACGAAUGGCGUAACGACUUCCCCGCUGUCUCAACCGCAUACCCGGCGAAAUUGCACUACGAGUAAAGAUGCUCGUUACGCGCAGCAGGACGGAAAGACCCCGGGACCUUCACUACAGCUUGACAUUGGCGUUUGGAACGUCUUGUGUAGGAUAGGUGGGAGACUGUGAAGCCGUCACGCUAGUGGUGGUGGAGUCAUUGGUGAAAUACCACUCUGGUCGUUUUGAACGUCUAACUUCGGUCCGUGAUCCGGAUCAGGGACAGUGUCUGGUGGGUAGUUUAACUGGGGCGGUUGCCUCCUAAAGAGUAACGGAGGCGCCCAAAGGUUCCCUCAGCCUGGUUGGUAAUCAGGUGUCGAGUGUAAGUGCACAAGGGAGCUUGACUGUGAGACCGACGGGUCGAGCAGGAGCGAAAGCUGGGACUAGUGAUCCGGCGGUGGCAUGUGGAAGCGCCGUCGCUCAACGGCUAAAAGGUACCCCGGGGAUAACAGGCUGAUCUUCCCCAAGAGUCCAUAUCGACGGGAUGGUUUGGCACCUCGAUGUCGGCUCGUCGCAUCCUGGGGCUGGAGUAGGUCCCAAGGGUUGGGCUGUUCGCCCAUUAAAGCGGUACGCGAGCUGGGUUUAGAACGUCGCGAGACAGUUCGGUCCCUAUCCGCUGCGCGCGCAGGAGACUUGAAAGGAGCUGUCCCUAGUACGGGAGGACCGGGACGGACGAACCUCCGGUGUGCCAGUUGUUCCGCCAGGAGCAUGGCUGGUUGGCUACGUUCGGAAGGGAUAACCGCUGAAAGCAUCUAAGCGGGAAGCUCGCCUUGAGAUGAGGUCUCCCACCACGUGAGUGGGUAAGGCCCCCGGGAGACGACCGGGUUGAUAGGCCGGAGGUGGAAGCACGGUAACGUGUGGAGCUGACCGGUACUAAUAGGCCGAGGACUUGACCAC
rnacentral:rRNA from 1 species